CAAAUAGCCCAGUGUCCACACAGACCUUGUCGAUUUAAGAAACGAUUUUGAGUUAAUCGCGGCGGAGCACCGCUGCCUAGCGCCCAGGCGCCGCUUAGGUGGCUGCCUCAACCGUUUUUUAGAACACUGGCUAUUUCUCCAUUCUCAUGGCCUAUAUAUGUGGACAUUUUAUUUAUGUAAGUCGUUUAUAACACCACACUUCAAAAGAAAAAUAGAACUCAAUUCUAAUAUUUUAGAAGAACAAAACAA
rnacentral:lncRNA from 1 species